rnacentral:tRNA from 1 species
GCGGGGAUAGCCAAGCCAGGUCAAAGGCGCAGAGCCUGUGGAGCCUGUCCCGUAGGGGUUCGCGGGUUCAAAUCCCGCUCCCCGCACCA